GUUGGAUAAACCAUAUAUGCCUUUAAGAUAUUUACUCCGGACAUCAUUAGAGACAAAUAUUAAUGCUUGUUUUCCUCUCUUUAUGGACUUCGAGUUUGGCUAUUCUGUCACAUGU
rfam:Arabis alpina cultivar Pajares Aa.chr3_contig_1105, whole genome shotgun sequence.